rnacentral:lncRNA from 1 species
UUUCACAGUAGAUUUCUGUCUAAAAGAGAGACUUCUCUUUUACAGCUCAGAGUUUCACAAGGAGGAAGACAGCCAGAUCUCUGUCCAAGCUGCAUUUGGGUGGCCAAUUUCCACUUUGUUUCUCAGCUGAGAGAAAAGAAGUAUUUCCCUAUCACGCAAGGACUGUGAUUGGCCUGACUUGUGGAUACUCCAUGGACUAAUUCUUGUUACCUGGAAGAAAUCUGUGGGAUUGAAGGACAGAGAUUUUUUUCUCAAGUUUGCAGACAAGGAAACUGUGCUUCUGGUGGAUUCAGUGACUUCCCCAAAAUCAUCCAGCUGGUUAGCAGCAGAACUGAGACUUUAACUCAACCCUCCCAGUUAUGUGUUCUUCCCUGCAUUUGUGACCUGCUAAGGACAAGGUAAGUGGUGUUACAUUGUCCAACUGGCCAGAUUGGCAGAUAACCAGCCAGUUCUGAGCUCAGAGCAGGGGUCAUAGAUUGAAUUAGGAAGGUCUAAUCACCACAAGGGUCCUUGGUGAGGCUGAGGUUUAUGACAGCUUUUAAGAAAUGGACAUAGAUUUGGGGAGAAGAGUGACAGGGGCAUGCUAUGUAGGUGGUGUGACACAGAAAGGGAUAGAUGAAGGAAUAGACUCAGGAAUGUGAAUCUUCCAGAUGGAUUAUGUUAAUUAUUUUGCCCAUCUCUGAGUUAUUGAGCAUGGAAGAGUGGGUAGAGUGUGGAUCCACGUGCCAGAACAACUCAACACAACCAGCUAAACACACAUUUUAGAGUUUGUGAAGUGAAAUCUUAUACAUGAUCUGAUGCAGGCCUUGUAAACCACUCUCUGUUGUUUGAAGCACUAUUGUUAUUAUUAUUCCUCUUUUAUAGGUCAGGAAAGUAUAAGGUUCAGAGUGGAGAAUUGGUUAAUGGUCAUGUCCCAGUCAACCAGCAGAGAGACAGCAGAUAUAAAUCUAGGACUAUAGACCUGAAAUAUUUUUAACUUGUUGAGCAUGCUACAUCUGGCUUUAGUCCUUGUUCUCUCAUCUUGGGCAAAAUUUGAACUUAAAUCUCUUUCGCAAACAUAGUUAACAAUAGCCAACCUACUUUCCCACGGCAUUGUUUGUGAAAUCCAUAUUGACAGUGUACAUGGAAAUGCUUUGUAAAGUCCAAUGCAAUAUACAGAACUGGAGAGUAUUGGUGUUAAUGAGUUUCUAUUUCUACUGCCUUUCUGCCACAUGAU